rnacentral:ncRNA from 1 species
UAAAGCGGUACGCGAGCUGGGUUUAGAACGUCGUGAGUACAGUUCGGUCCCGUAUCCGCUGUGCGCGUAGGAGUCUUGAGAAGGGCUGUCCCUAGUACGAGAGACCGGGACGGACGAACCUCUGGUGUGCCAGUUGUUCUGCCAAGGGCGAUGGCUGGUUGGCUACGUUCGGGAGGGAUAACCGCUGAAAGCAUCUAAGCGGGAAGCCUGCUUCGAGAUGAGGACUCCCACCUCCUAGAGAGGGUAAGGCUCCCAGUAGACGACUGGGUUGAUAGGCCGGAUAUGGAAGCACGGUAACGUGUGGAGUUGACCGGUACUAAUAGGCCGAGGGCUUGUCCUC